rnacentral:tRNA from 1 species
GCCAGUAUAGCUCAGCGGUAGAGUAGGGGACUCAUAAGCCCUUGGUCGCAGGUUCGAAUCCUGCUACUGGCA